GACGAACGCUGGCGGCGUGCUUAACACAUGCAAGUCGAACGGAAAGGCCCUGCUUUUGCGGGGUUCUCGAGUGGCGAACGGGUGGGUAACACGUGAGUAACCUGCCCUUGACUUUGGGAUAACUUCAGGAAACUGGGGCUAAUAUCGGAUAGGAGCUCCUGCUGCAUGGUGGGGGUUGGAAAGUGUCGGCGGUUGGGGAUGGACUCGCGGCUUAUCAGCUUGUUGGUGGGGUAGUGGCUUACCAAGGCUUUGACGGGUAGCCGGCCUGAGAGGGCGACCGGCCACCUUGGGACUGAGAUACGGCCCAGACUCCUACGGGAGGCAGCAGUGGGGAAUAUUGCACAAUGGGCGGAAGCCUGAUGCAGCAACGCCGCGUGCGGGAUGACGGCCUUCGGGUUGUAAACCGCUUUCGCCUGUGACGAAGCGUGAGUGACGGUAAUGGGUAAAGAAGCACCAGCUAACUACGUG
rnacentral:rRNA from 1 species